GAUGAACGCUGGCGGCGUGCCUAAUACAUGCAAGUCGAGCGAACGGACGAGAAGCUUGCUUCUCUGAUGUUAGCGGCGGACGGGUGAGUAACACGUGGAUAACCUACCUAUAAGACUGGGAUAACUUCGGGAAACCGGAGCUAAUACCGGAUAAUAUUUUGAACCGCAUGGUUCAAAAGUGAAAGACGGUCUUGCUGUCACUUAUAGAUGGAUCCGCGCUGCAUUAGCUAGUUGGUAAGGUAACGGCUUACCAAGGCAACGAUGCAUAGCCGACCUGAGAGGGUGAUCGGCCACACUGGAACUGAGACACGGUCCAGACUCCUACGGGAGGCAGCAGUAGGGAAUCUUCCGCAAUGGGCGAAAGCCUGACGGAGCAACGCCGCGUGAGUGAUGAAGGUCUUCGGAUCGUAAAACUCUGUUAUUAGGGAAGAACAUAUGUGUAAGUAACUGUGCACAUCUUGACGGUACCUAAUCAGAAAGCCACGGCUAACUACGUGCCAGCAGCCGCGGUAAUACGUAGGUGGCAAGCGUUAUCCGGAAUUAUUGGGGCGUAAAGCGCGCGUAGGCGGUUUUUUAAGUCUGAUGUGAAAGCCCACGGCUUCAACCGUGGAGGGUCAUUGGAAACUGGAAAACUUGAGUGCAGAAGAGGAAAGUGGAAUUCCAUGUGUAGCGGUGAAAUGCGUAGAGAUAUGGAGGAACACCAGUGGCGAAGGCGACUUUCUGGUCUGUAACUGACGCUGAUGUGCGAAAGCGUGGGGAUCAAACAGGAUUAGAUACCCUGGUAGUCCACGCCGUAAACGAUGAGUGCUAAGUGUUAGGGGGUUUCCGCCCCUUAGUGCUGCAGCUAACGCAUUAAGCACUCCGCCUGGGGAGUACGACCGCAAGGUUGAAACUCAAAGGAAUUGACGGGGACCCGCACAAGCGGUGGAGCAUGUGGUUUAAUUCGAAGCAACGCGAAGAACCUUACCAAAUCUUGACAUCCUUUGACAACUCUAGAGAUAGAGCUUUCCCCUUCGGGGGACAAAGUGACAGGUGGUGCAUGGUUGUCGUCAGCUCGUGUCGUGAGAUGUUGGGUUAAGUCCCGCAACGAGCGCAACCCUUAAGCUUAGUUGCCAUCAUUAAGUUGGGCACUCUAAGUUGACUGCCGGUGACAAACCGGAGGAAGGUGGGGAUGACGUCAAAUCAUCAUGCCCCUUAUGAUUUGGGCUACACACGUGCUACAAUGGACAAUACAAAGGGCAGCGAAACCGCGAGGUCAAGCAAAUCCCAUAAAGUUGUUCUCAGUUCGGAUUGUAGUCUGCAACUCGACUACAUGAAGCUGGAAUCGCUAGUAAUCGUAGAUCAGCAUGCUACGGUGAAUACGUUCCCGGGUCU
rnacentral:rRNA from 1 species